AAUAGAUACCCAGGUAGUCCAUGCCGUAAACGUUGGGCACUAGGUGUGGGGUCCAUUCCACGGAUUCCGUGCCGCAGCAAACGCAUUAAGUGCCCCGCCUAGGGAGUACGGCCGCAAGGCUAAAACUCAAAGAAAUUGACGGGGGCCCGCACAAGCGGCGGAGCAUGCGGAUUAAUUCGAUGCAACGCGAAGAACCUUACCAAGGCUUGACAUACACCGGAAACGUGCAGAGAUGUGCGCCCCGCAAGGUCGGUGUACAGGUGGUGCAUGGUUGUCGUCAGCUCGUGUCGUGAGAUGUUGGGUUAAGUCCCGCAACGAGCGCAACCCUCGUCCCAUGUUGCCAGCGGGUUAUGCCGGGGACUCAUGGGAGACUGCCGGGGUCAACUCGGAGGAAGGUGGGGAUGACGUCAAAUCAUCAUGCCCCUUAUGUCUUGGGCUUCACGCAUGCUACAAUGGCCGGUACAAAGGGCUGCGAAACCGCGAGGUGGAGCGAAUCCCAAAAAGCCGGUCUCAGUUCGGAUUGGGGUCUGCAACUGACCCC
rnacentral:rRNA from 1 species